UACGGAGGGUGCGAGCGUUGUUCGGAAUCACUGGGCGUAAAGCGCGUGUAGGCGGCCUGCUAAGUCUGAUGUGAAAGCCCGAGGCUCACCCUCGGAAGUGCAUUGGAAACUGGCAGACUGGAGUCCCGGAGAGGUGAGUGGAAUUCCCAGUGUAGCGGUGAAAUGCGUAGAUAUUGGGAGGAACACCAGUGGCGAAGGCGGCUCACUGGACCGGUUCUGACGCUGAGGCGCGAAAGCGUGGGGAGCAAACGGG
rnacentral:rRNA from 1 species